rnacentral:rRNA from 1 species
GACGAACGCUGGCGGCGUGCUUAACACAUGCAAGUCGAACGGAAAGGCCCUGCUUUUGUGGGGUGCUCGAGUGGCGAACGGGUGAGUAACACGUGAGUAACCUGCCCUUGACUUUGGGAUAACUUCAGGAAACUGGGGCUAAUACCGGAUAGGAGCUCCUGCUGCAUGGUGGGGGUUGGAAAGUUUCGGCGGUUGGGGAUGGACUCGCGGCUUAUCAGCUUGUUGGUGGGGUAGUGGCUUACCAAGGCUUUGACGGGUAGCCGGCCUGGGAGGGUGACCGGCCACAUUGGGACUGAGAUACGGCCCAGACUCCUACGGGAGGCAGCAGUGGGGAAUAUUGCACAAUGGGCGGAAGCCUGAUGCAGCAACGCCGCGUGCGGGAUGACGGCCUUCGGGUUGUAAACCGCUUUCGCCUGUGACGAAGCGUGAGUGACGGUAAUGGGUAAAAAAGCACCGGCUAACUACGUG